rnacentral:rRNA from 1 species
CACGUAGGCGGCAUUGCAAGUCGGAUGUGAAAUCCCUCGGCUUAACCAAGGAAGUGCAUCCGAAACUGCAGUGCUUGAGUACUUAAGAGGAUCGCGGAAUUCCCGGUGUAGAGGUGAAAUUCGUAGAUAUCGGGAGGAACACCAGUGGCGAAGGCGGCGAUCUGGGAAGAUACUGACGCUGAGGUGCGAAAGCGUGGGGAGCAAACA